CCCUUAGAUGUUCUGGGCCGCACGCGCGCUACACUGAUGCAUUCAACGAGUUUCUUCCUGGUCCGAUAGGAAUGGGUAACCUUUUGAAAGUGCAUCGUGAUAGGGAUAGACUAUUGCAAUUAUUGGUCUUCAACGAGGAAUUCCUAGUAGACGUAGUUCAUCAGACUGCAUCGAUUACGUCCCUGCCCUUUGUACACACCGCCCGUCGCUCCUACCGAUUGAAUGCUCAGGUGAGCCAUUCGGACUUUCAUCAUGCUGGUUUCCAGUUUUGAUGAAGGAAAGUCUUGCGAACCUUAUCAUUUAGAGGAAGGAGAAGUCGUAACA
rnacentral:rRNA from 1 species